UGCAGCCGAGCGGUAUAGAUCUUUCGGGAUCUAGAGAGCGGCGUACGGGUGCGGAACACGUGUGCAACCUGCCUUUAUCAGGGGGAUAGCCUUUCGAAAGGAAGAUUAAUACCCCAUAAUAUUUAGAAUGGCAUCAUUUUAAAUUGAAAACUCCGGUGGAUAGAGAUGGGCACGCGCAAGAUUAGAUAGUUGGUGAGGUAACGGCUCACCAAGUCUGCGAUCUUUAGGGGGCCUGAGAGGGUGAUCCCCCACACUGGUACUGAGACACGGACCAGACUCCUACGGGAGGCAGCAGUGAGGAAUAUUGGACAAUGGGUGGGAGCCUGAUCCAGCCAUCCCGCGUGAAGGACGACGGCCCUAUGGGUUGUAAACUUCUUUUGUAUAGGGAUAAACCUACUCUCGUGAGGGUAGCUGAAGGUACUAUACGAAUAAGCACCGGCUAACUCCGUGCCAGCAGCCGCGGUAAUACGGAGGGUGCAAGCGUUAUCCGGAUUUAUUGGGUUUAAAGGGUCCGUAGGCGGAUCUGUAAGUCAGUGGUGAAAUCUCACAGCUUAACUGUGAAACUGCCAUUGAUACUGCAGGUCUUGAGUGUUGUUGAAGUAGCUGGAAUAAGUAGUGUAGCGGUGAAAUGCAUAGAUAUUACUUAGAACACCAAUUGCGAAGGCAGGUUACUAAGCAACAACUGACGCUGAUGGACGAAAGCGUGGGGAGCGAACAGGAUUAGAUACCCUGGUAGUCCACGCCGUAAACGAUGCUAACUCGUUUUUGGUAUUUCGGUAUCAGAGACUAAGCGAAAGUGAUAAGUUAGCCACCUGGGGAGUACGUUCGCAAGAAUGAAACUCAAAGGAAUUGACGGGGGCCCGCACAAGCGGUGGAUUAUGUGGUUUAAUUCGAUGAUACGCGAGGAACCUUACCAAGGCUUAAAUGGGAAAUGACAGGUUUAGAAAUAGACUUUUCUUCGGACAUUUUUCAAGGUGCUGCAUGGUUGUCGUCAGCUC
rnacentral:rRNA from 1 species